rnacentral:rRNA from 1 species
UACGGAGGGUGCAAGCGUUAUCCGGAUUUACUGGGGUUAAAGGGUGCGUAGGUGGAUAAUUAAGUCAGUGGUGAAAUCUUCAGGCUUAACCUGGAAACUGCCAUUGAUACUAUUUAUCUUGAAUACUUUGGAGGUAAGCGGAAUAUGUCAUGUAGCGGUGAAAUGCUUAGAUAUGACAUAGAACACCAAUUGCGAAGGCAGCUUACUACACAGUAAUUGACACUGAGGCACGAAAGCGUGGGGAUCAAACAGG